rnacentral:tRNA from 1 species
UCUUAAUGUGGCAGAAAUUAUAUGCAAUGAAUUUAAGCUUCAUUUAUAAAGAUCCUUCUUUCGUUAAGAA